AGAGUUUGAUCCUGGCUCAGAUUGAACGCUGGCGGCAUGCCUUACACAUGCAAGUCGAACGGCAGCGCGGGGCAACCUGGCGGCGAGUGGCGAACGGGUGAGUAAUAUAUCGGAACAUACCCUAGAGUGGGGGAUAACGUAGCGAAAGUUACGCUAAUACCGCAUACGAUCUGAGGAUGAAAGUGGGGGAUCGCAAGACCUCAUGCUCAUGGAGUGGCCGAUAUCUGAUUAGCUAGUUGGUAGGGUAAAAGCCUACCAAGGCGACGAUCAGUAGCUGGUUUGAGAGAACGACCAGCCACACUGGAACUGAGACACGGUCCAGACUCCUACGGGAGGCAGCAGUGGGGAAUUUUGGACAAUGG
rnacentral:rRNA from 1 species